AGAGUUUGAUCAUGGCUCAGAACGAACGCUGGCGGCGUGGAUAAGACAUGCAAGUCGAGCGCGACUUAAUUUGUAGCAAUACAGGUUAAGUUGAGCGGCGAAAGGGUGCGUAACACGUGGGCAAUUUGCCAUGAAGUUGGGGAUAACUCGCUGAAAGGCGAGCUAAUACCGAAUGUGAUUAUUUGGAGGCAUCUCUGGAUAAUUAAAGUUGGGGAUCGAAAGACCUGACGCUUUAUGAUGAGCCCGCGGCCUAUCAGCUAGUUGGUGAGGUAACGGCUCACCAAGGCUAAGACGGGUAGCUGGUCUGAGAGGACGACCAGCCACACUGGGACUGAGACACGGUCCAGACACCUACGGGUGGCAGCAGUCGAGAAUUUUUCUCAAUGGGGGAAACCCUGAAGGAGCGACGCCGCGUGGGGGAUGAAUGGCUUCGGCCCGUAAACCCCUGUCAUUUGUGAACAAACCUUACGUUUUAAUAGAACGUGAGCUGAUUGUAACGGAAGAGGAAGGGACGGCUAACUCUGUGCCAGCAGCCGCGGUAAUACAGAGGUCCCAAGCGUUGUUCGGAUUCACUGGGCGUAAAGGGUGCGUAGGUGGUUAGGUAAGUCUGAUGUGAAAUCUCUGGGCUCAACCCAGAAACUGCAUUGGAUACUAUCUAGCUAGAGGAGUGGAGGGGGGACUGGAAUACUUGGUGUAGCAGUGAAAUGCGUAGAUAUCAAGUGGAACACCAGUGGCGAAGGCGAGUCCCUGGACACUUCCUGACACUGAGGCACGAAAGCUAGGGGAGCAAACAGGAUUAGAUACCCUAGUAGUCC
rnacentral:rRNA from 1 species